AUCACUUCUCGGCCUUUUGGCUAAGAUCAAGUGUAGAAUAAAAUUUCACCCAGGAUUUAGUGAAGUUCUUUUGUGGGAAAUUUCAAGCAGAGACUCAAACCCAGGUUUUGUGUCCUUGAUAUUAUAAUACUAAAAUAUUCAAAUUUUAAUUUAUGAUCUGAUUU
ensembl:snRNA U2 U2 spliceosomal RNA